ACACAUAUAAGAGCCAGUAAAUGUUUAAUAGUCAAUAAAAUGAUAUUUUUUAAAAAGUUAAUUUUAAUAGGCCUGUACAGAUGUGCAUGGAAAAACUGAAAAAAAACCCAGAACAUUUAUAGCAAUUACAAUGAAGUAUGAAACCAUGAGUGGCGUCACUGAGAAGGCAAGUAUAUUAAAAAUAUUGUUUGAGGUUUCACUGGCAUAGGAAGAGAGAAUAUUAUAUAGAUGUUAUAGAACAACUGACAAGAGGAACUGGUAAUGGUAACUUGGGUUUCUUUGGAAUUGUAAUAGAAAGAGAGGAGCUAGGGAAAGACCAUAUAGGUUUGGUGUAGUUAAUUAAAUGACAAGUGAUGACACAAUUAUUUAUAAGCUGUCAAUAUUGUGGUUUAUUCAGAUUCUGUAUGACAGCAGAAGGCCACUUCCUCUUUCUUGGUUCCCUCUUGCAGCCUCUGAAGUACCUACACAGUUAUAGUUAUUUUCCCUUGAAAUACUAGAGGUAUUUUCAUAUUGUUUUUAAAGAUCUGAUCUGGAACUGACUAGUAUGGUAGUGAUUAGACUUAAGGACUAUAUAAGUGUUUAAAUUGUGGUUAGUACAAGUGAGAAUUAAAUUAUCAAUUUAUAUUUAAGUUUUAAUUUUAAAACUAUGACAGUGUAAAAUAUUGGUUUUCUGUUAUGACCAAUGGUAGGAUUAUAUUUCACAUUGGCCAUAGGAAAUAUUUUCUUUAGUUCAUUUUUCUAAAAAUUUAGUCAUGGAAAAUUUGAUAUCUAAAUUGAGAUAUAUUAUGAAUGUUAAAAACAGACUUUAAAUGUAUAGUAUAAAAACUUAAUACUUUUGAAAUGGCAACUUAAGGGUUCAUUGGAAAGUCAGUUAGAUGAUGUUUUGCUGGGGCAAACACAUGAAGGAACAUUUAGCUGAAGUGGACACAGGUGAAAGGCUAAGGCAGACUCCUGAGGGAACAUUUAACUGAAGCAGACACAGGAGAAUGUUCUGCUAAAGCAAGCCUGUGAAAGGACAUGUGAUGGAGGAUUCUUUGCUAACAACAUGCAUGUAUUGGUCUGCUUUACAUUUCGUAGUUGAGCUGCAUUUGUCGGGCCUCCAUAGAGAGGAACAAACCAAAAAAUUUCUGGUGAUGUGCUACAGUUUCUUGCUGCUUCCACGGAUUAGGGCCCAUUGGCAGAGUGAUGUCAGCUGAGACAGAUGCGUGUGCUGAGGUAAGGUGAAUGCUGAGAAGGCAGAUGUAAUUGUUAAAGAGAUGAAUGCCAUGAAAGAGAAAUCUGGUACCUUCCCUUGGAACAGCAGCCACAUGGUCUAAGAGUAAGGCCUCACCUAGCAGACCAGCCUUUUCUUUUAUUUCUUUUUUUAAGCUAGUGUCUUGUUUUGCUGAAACAAAAAUAAACUGUCUUGCUUUC
rnacentral:lncRNA from 1 species